GUGAAUUUUGGAAGCAAUAUUAUUUGAUUUGGUUUUAAUGAAAGACACUACGUCUACCUGUUAAUUUCAGACUCUAUUACGUUUUAUUCUUUCUCAACAAUAAUUUUACACGGAAUUUAGACAGAACGGUUGACGUUAUAAAGUGUUCUUAAAACGUUUUUAAAAUAAUAUUUUUACGUCUUGAUGAAAUGAAUCCACUUUAUGGUGAAAAUGAAAAAAUCAAUUCAGUUUUGUUUUUCAACUAAAAUUACAAAUAUUAGUUUUAAAAUAUAUACCGGUGAUUGCAUCGAUUUAUUCGGUUUCCUUGUUCUAGGGUUAAAACAAAUUAGCUGCUCUAAUAGUGACGUAACGUUUUUCAUGGGCACUAUCUCAGGUUAGAUACUCACUGUCUUGUGACCUUUUCGCAGUACUUCUACACGUGACCCUGAUCCUCCUAUGGAGAUGUGUGUCGUCGACUUCAAUUCACUUUGAAUGCGCGGAAGUGGAAAAUACUACGUUUCUGACAACUCUUCUACGACACCGAGCUGACGAACUGCUGGAGACGUAUAAAAAAAUUAUUGGACCCGGGAUUAACUACAUCAGUGAGGACAUUCUCAACUCCAGUAUAUCUGGAAGCAGCGUUACAGAAAAAUUGCAGGACGUUUAUGUCAAAACUCUGCUGUUUAAUUUGCACAUCUCAAACGUAGAAAGAUGUCAGACUAGGAUUUCGGAAAAUCAGUCUCUAAGCAAUUCCCUGCGAUAUGUCAAGCAAUACCUCAGCUUCCUCGUGA